AUAGUGACAUUUAUUCUACUCAGUGUGUGAUUUAGCCCACUUUGGAAUACCCAUAGCCAUACAGUGUCUUCCUAACAGUCACAGUAUAGUUAACAAGGGGAUAAAUGGCCAAAACGAUGUGAUAGAGCUCCAUCAGAUGUGUCUAGUUAGUCACUAAGGACCAGUGCUAGGAGUUGGAAAUAUGACAAAGACCUGGUCCCAGUCCUCAAGAAGACUCCCAUACAGUCAAUUGCAUCACGAAAGUUGGGAAACCUAAAGCCUUGGGCUUCCUUUGGAGAAUUGCAGCUUUAUGCCUCCUAAUUAAGUAGGAAGUUGUCAAUUUAGAUUAUGGAGGACUAGGAGAUAGGUCACUCAACUUACCAUGUUCUAGAACCCCAGUUUGAGCCUCUGGCACCACAUGGAAUCACCAUACACAGCAUCAGGAGCACUACUCAGUUCUGGCUUAUGGUGGUGUGGGGCUUGAACCUGGGACUUCAGAGCCACAGGCAUUAAAGUCUCGUGCAGAAUCAUUAAGCUGUCUAUCUCCACAAAGGACAUCUGAAACUGCUAAAGUGUCUCUACUUUCUGAAUAUGAAUGCAGGUGCUCUGUGGACCAUGGAGGUAGUGCAGCAAUAGUGCACAAGACUGGUGUACAUGAAGCCCAGGGUUCAAUCCCUGACCCUGCAUGUGUAGGCACAGGGCUCUUGACAACCUCUUAAUCAUGUAAAGUAAAUAAAUAAACCUUGAAUAUAAAUAAAGAAACCGGGAGCUCUUCUGGAGUCUCCUCACCUGA